rnacentral:rRNA from 2 species
GCAUCUAUUAGAUUAAAACCAAUCGGGUUUCGGCCCGUCAAUUGGUGACUCUGAAUAACUAUGGCUGAUCGCAUGGUCUUGAACCGGCGACGUGUCUAUCAAGUGUCUGCCUUAUCAACUGUCGAUGGUAGUUUAUGUGCCUACCAUGGUUGUAACGGGUAACGGAGAAUAAGGGUUCGACUCCGGAGAGGGAGCCUGAGAAACGGCUACCACAUCCAAGGAAGGCAGCAGGCGCGCAAAUUACCCACUCUCGGCAUGAGGAGGUAGUGACGAAAAAUAACGAGACCGUUCUCUCUGAGGCCGGUUAUCGGAAUGGGUACAAUUUAAACCCGUUAACGAGGAUCUAUGAGAGGGCAAGUCUGGUGCCAGCAGCCGCGGUAAUUCCAGCUCUCAAAGUGUAUAUCGUCAUUGCUGCGGUUAAAAAGCUCGUAGUUGGAUCUGCGCCUCAGGACUUGGUCCGCCCACUGGGCGAGAACUGGGCUCCUGGGCUAGUACUGCUGGUUUUCCCUACGUUGCCUUCAUCGGUCGCGUAGGGUGGCUAGCGAGUUUACUUUGAAAAAAUUAGAGUGCUUCACGCGGGCUUAUGUCUGAAUACUCGUGCAUGGAAUAAUAGAAUAGGAUCUCGGUUCUAUUUUGUUGGUUUUCUGAUCUGAGAUAAUGGUUAAGAGGGACGGACGGGGGCAUUCGUAUCGCUGCGUGAGAGGUGAAAUUCUUGGACCGUAGCGAGACGUCCGACUGCGAAAGCAUUUGCCAAGAAUGUCUUCAUUAAUCAAGAACGAAAGUCAGAGGUUCGAAG